AUUCAAAAGUUUAACCACGAUCGUCACACCAAGGCUUCAAAAUUAAGACCAUCUACUAGCCAAAUGCUGGUAAAAUAUGCAAGUGGCUGGUGGAUCUGCUUCACUCACCAACCCC